rnacentral:rRNA from 1 species
AUAAUCAUUUGUCUUUUAAUUAAAGACUAGAAUGAAAGAUUAAAUAAAAUAUUAACUAUAUUAAUUUAAUAAAUAAUUAAAAUUUAUUUUUAAGUAAAAAAUCUUAAAUAUUAUUAUUAGACGAUAAGACCCUAUAGAACUUUAUAUUAAAUUAUUUUAUUAAAUUAAUUUAUAAUUAUAAAAAUAAAAUUAAUAUUAUAUUGGGGGGAUAAAAAAAUUAAAUAAAUUUUUUUAUUAAAUUAAACAUUUAUAAAUGAAUUAAAAUAUAAAAGAGUGAUUAAUAUAAAUUAAUAAAAUAAGUUACCUUAGGGAUAACAGCAUAAUUUUUUUAAAUAGUUCUUAUUGAUAAAAAAGAUUAU